GAUGAACGCUGGCGGCGUGCCUAAUACAUGCGAGUCGAGCGAACGGACGAGAAGCUUGCUUCUCUGAUGUUAGCGGCGGACGGGUGAGUAACACGUGGAUAACCUACCUAUAAGACUGGGAUAACUUCGGGAAACCGUAGCUAAUACCGGAUAAUAUUUUGAACCGCAUGGUUCAAAAGUGAAAGACGGUCUUGCUGUCACUUAUAGAUGGAUCCGCGCUGCAUUAGCUAGUUGGUAAGGUAACGGCUUACCAAGGCAACGAUGCAUAGCCGACCUGAGAGGGUGAACGGCCAAACUGGAACUGAGACACGGUCCAGACUCCUACGGGAGGCAGCAGUAGGGAAUCUUCCGCAAUGGGCGAAAGCCUGACGGAGCAACGCCGCGUGAGUGAUGAAGGUCUUCGGAUCGUAAAACUCUGUUAUUAGGGAAGAACAUAUGUGUAGGUAACUGUGCACAUCUUGACGGUACCUAAUCAGAAAGCCACGGCUAACUACGUG
rnacentral:rRNA from 1 species